rnacentral:rRNA from 1 species
UGGGGAAUAUUGCACAAUGGGCGCAAGCCUGAUGCAGCAACGCCGCGUGAGGGAUGACGGCCUUCGGGUUGUAAACCUCUUUUAGCAGGGAAGAAGCGAAAGUGACGGUACCUGCAGAAAAAGCACCGGCUAACUACGUGCCAGCAGCCGCGGUAAUACGUAGGGUGCAAGCGUUGUCCGGAAUUAUUGGGCGUAAAGAGCUCGUAGGCGGUCUGUCGCGUCUGCUGUGAAAUCCCGAGGCUCAACCUCGGGCCUGCAGUGGGUACGGGCAGACUAGAGUGCGGUAGGGGAGAAUGGAACUCCUGGUGUAGCGGUGGAAUGCGCAGAUAUCAGGAAGAACACCGAUGGCGAAGGCAGUUCUCUGGGCCGUAACUGACGCUGAGGAGCGAAAGCGUGGGGAGCGAACAGGAUUAGAUACCCUGGUAGUCCACGCCGUAAACGUUGGGCGCUAGAUGUGGGACCAUUCCACGGUUUCCGUGUCGCAGCUAACGCAUUAAGCGCCCCGCCUGGGGAGUACGGCCGCAAGGCU